CUCAGGUUUUGAGGGAGCGUGCAAUUGGUAGGCUGACUGCAGGAAUGCCCACCAGAUCUGUUGCCAGAGAAUUGAAUGUUAAUUUCUCUACCAUAACCCGCCUCCAACAUCAUUUUAAAGCAUUUGGAAGUCCGUCCAACCGGCCUCACAACAGCAGACCACGUGUAACCAAGCCAGCCCAGGACCUCCACAUCUGGCUUCUUCACCUGCGGGAUCGUAUGAGACCAGCCACCUGGACAGCUGAUGAAACGGUCCCUUGAAGCUGUCCUCUGACAACCAUCACCUCUGGAUGUUCUACUACCAACAGACCUGCAGUAAUUCAAAUCUCCUUGUCUCCAACACAGUCAAGUUGCUACUCCUCUGGAUAUCCCAUUGUUCCUCCACUGGACCUAAUUAAACACUGAGUAUGAAAUGACUUUCACGGUGUAGUUGUAGGAAAUGUAAACUGUUCUGUUCUAAUGUUGCAUUAAUAUAGAACUAUUCAUGAAAAUACUGUGUAAAAGUGUGUUUCUACGUCAUACAUUGUUUCAAGCCACUCCUUGCAACAUCUGAUGUGAGAUUCAUGUGAGAUGUAUUAUAUUUUUUAGGUUAGUAUAAGGAGUCGGUGUUAUUCCUCAAGCAUCAAUAGGGUAUAUCAUUAAUUGAAAAGACAUUUGAACAGCAGUAAAUAUAGCAGAUUGUAACUAACAUAACACUUGGCCUCCAGUUCUCCUUACUGUACCUCCCUAAAGCUGAAGUGUGCAGUAGUUGCUGAAUUCCCCAUGGAAUACACAAUGAUUGAUGAUCGAAUACUGAGGAAGUGAAGUUGUACUGAUAACAAUUAAAAGUAUAAUUUCUCAAUGAAA
ensembl:lncRNA